CUUGUAUCCAAUUCAGAUCUCCCUAAGGGACCUGGAUACACAAGCAAACUAGGGUAUCCCCCAACUUUUCUUAAUAUGGAGCUGAAACACCUAGAAUGCUCACCAGAAACUGCUGUGCAUCAUAAAGACUUCUAGUGGUUCAUUUGUGGAACCACAUGGCCUUUGGAGACCCGCUGUCACCAACGUGGCCUAUGGGACCUCGCCACUGCCCCUGGCAUGCUAUGAGGCCUUUCUGCUGCUGUGGUUUCCCCCUAUGAAGCCUUUCCGUCGCCUCUGUUGGAGUUGGAGUGGGGGAUCAAGUUCUAGAAUUUUAAAGAGAAG
rnacentral:lncRNA from 11 species